CCAGAAGUUGAGUAUCCGUUCUCUUUCCCUUUCCCCCUUUGGUUGAGCAGAAGGAUGAAAACGAUGAGGUCUUCUCCCGCUCCAUUCCCUCGAAUACCCUGACCCCAAGGGUCCUCCUGGCAUCCGACUUCCAUCUUCUACGACUCCCCAUCCUAGCCCCAGCUUCUGUCGCUGCCUCCGCCGCUGGCUCCAAGAGCCGAAACUUGGGGACGCUAGCGGCACUGGGGUAGGCUGGGGGAGCCCCAGCCCGGGUGACUCCUUACCUUUUUGACGUUCAGCGCUUGGAGCCGACUUUGGCACCCACCGAGCUCCUCGUUGCCACUGCUCCUCCCGCGUGUUCCGCCGAUGUACCUGGUCGCAGCUCCCCCCACCCGCCCCGGCCCCGCCACCCCAGCAGCGGGCUAUUUAACACUUCAUGGCGCGCAGCUCUUGGCCCCGGGCCCCGCGGAACGUGUGUCCGGCUUGGCUGUGGCAACUGCGGCUACUGCCGCUCCUCCUCCACUCCAAUGGCUUCUCGACUUUCCCCCGCCCCGGUCUCGUCCCCUCCCUCCUCCUGCUUUCCUCUCUCUCUUUCCUUCCCUCUUCCCUAGUCUCCCGAGGACCGGAUGAACAGGUUUCGCCGCUCCCCGGAGGUGCCUCUCCUCUCACUACAGCCGAGGCCACCACAGCCCAGAAAUUUUGCGAUCUGAUCAAGAAAGAUUGA
rnacentral:lncRNA from 1 species